rnacentral:lncRNA from 1 species
UACGCUCGGUUUCGAAUUAAGGCUCUACCAAAUGCUUUUCACAUUUCUCCACUUUCUUGUAUCACAUAGGAAGUCGAAAGGCCAAAAGUAUGGCUGUCCAAAUAUGUCUGAUAAUGUCAUACGAUUAUCAUUCCUUUACCGUACUUCAAAUGUUUUUUCCCCUUCCUUACCAUGUAAUACGACCAGCAUGGAUGUUUGUUUGUGAAUCUGAUUGUAUUGUCCUGCAACAGGCCAGUCAAUGUUGUCUGCUGGAAGCG